CACUAAGCAGCUCUUACAUCAAUGUAGGUGUGUUUGAGAAUUAUGAGAGCCUUCAAUUCUCAUACCAAACUACACCCACACAAGUCAAUUCCAGUUCCAAUGACUAAAGGUCAUGUGAAUGGCAAAAAGUAACAGUUUGAAGAGGUUUCUCCUCACUCGUUGUCCCAAACUGCGUGGGCUGUGGCCCUGGAGCGUUGGAGAGUUUCCACCGUGUCGUUCUGCAAGCCCAUACUCCACCCAUGUGCAGUGCUGGCCCCUCUGCUGCAAAAGAAACAAACCCCAGAACUACAAAAGGCCCUGGAAAGGGCAGAAAGAAUGACCAAAGGUCUGAGCAAGGAGUGACUGCACCUCCUGGGAUGCUUCAGUUCGGAACAUAAGGGAGUAAGCCUUCCCCAAAAGCCAGAGAACACCGCCAUUGGGACCCUUACUGGCAAACUUUUGAUCCACGAUAUGUGUGGUACAAGAACAGUGCAAGUCUGUCAU